rnacentral:rRNA from 1 species
CUCGAGUGCAUGAAGCUGGAAUCGCUAGUAAUCGCAAAUCAGAAUGUUGCGGUGAAUACGUUCCGGGUCUUGUACACACCGCCCGUCACACCAUGGGAGUUGGAAAUGCCCGAAGUCAGUGACCCAACCUAAGGGAGGGAGCUGCCGAAGGCAGGUUCGAUGACUGGGGUGAAGUCGUAACAAGGUAUC